UAUGUGAUCGUCUCUCGCAUAUCAAUAAGCGGAGGAAAAGAAACUAACAAGGAUUCCCCUAGUAACGGCGAGUGAAGCGGGAAGAGCUCAAAUUUGAAAUCUUAAAGGGUUUCCCUUUACGAAUUGUAGUUUAAAGAAGUGUUUUCUGUUGAGGUUUUGGUAAAAGUUCUUUGGAAUAGGACAUCAUAGAGGGUGAGAAUCCCGUAUUUGACCUUUACUUUCAACUUUGUGAUACACUUUCAAAGAGUCGGAUUGUUUGGGAAUGCAGUCCAAAAUGGGUGGUAAAUUUCAUCUAAAGCUAAAUAUUGGCGAGAGACCGAUAGCGAACAAGUACCGUGAGGGGAAAGAUGAAAAGAACUUUGAAAAGAGAGUUAAACAGUACGUGAAAUUGUCAAAAGGGAAGCGUUUGACACCAGUGUUGUUUUUCUGAAAAUCAAUUAAAGAACUGUUUAUGCUAAGCUGUCUAGACUUUAUCAGCUAUCUGUUUAGUUUUGAGCUUUUCUUUAAUGCACUUUUCAGUUAACAAGUCAACAUCAAUUUCUUUUGCUGUAAAAAAGCUUGAGGAAGGUGGCUUGAGAUUCGUCUUAAGUGUUUAUAGCCUCUUGCCUAUGCAGUCGGAGAGAUUGAGGUCUGCAGCGUAGAUCCUUCGGGGCUAAAUGCAUUUGUGCUAAGUUAUAGCAUUUUAUAGACAACUUGUUGACUAUGAUUUGUCUUGUAGCUUACUCGCUUAUGUUAUUUUACCUACGCUUAGGAUGUUGAUCUCUCACAGUCGAGC
rnacentral:rRNA from 1 species